rnacentral:RNase_P_RNA from 1 species
CCAGUCGGCCGGGCAGCCGCGCUUCGCUAGGGUCGAAAGACUGCGAGGCGAGGAAAGUCCGGGCUCCACGGAAACACGGUGCCGGUUAAUGGCCGGCGGGGGCGACCCCAGGGAAAGUGCCACAGAAAGCAAACCGCCCGCCUCUGGCGGGUAAGGGUGAAAGGGUGGGGUAAGAGCCCACCGCGCGACCGGCAACGGAAGCGGCACGGUAAACCCCACCGGGAGCAAGACCGAAUAGGGAUGACGCGGCGAAAGCCGGCCGGUUUCCAGGCCAGUCAUCCGGGUAGGUUGCUUGAGGCGUGUUGCAAGACACGUCCCAGAGGAAUGGCUGCCACGUUCCGCGCAAGCGGGGCCAUACAGAACCCGGCUUACAGGCCGGCUGGCAUU